rnacentral:rRNA from 1 species
AGAGUUUGAUCCUGGCUCAGGAUGAACGCUAGCGGCAGGCUUAACACAUGCAAGUCGAGGGGCAGCGAGAUGUAGCAAUACAUUGUCGGCGACCGGCGCACGGGUGCGUAACGCGUAUGCAACCUACCAUAUACAGGAGGAUAACCAUUCGAAAGAAUGACUAAUACUCCAUAGUAUUAUUUUGAGGCAUCUUAGAAUAAUUAAAGAAUUUCGGUAUAUGCUGGGCAUGCGUGACAUUAGCUAGUUGGAGAGGUAACGGCUCACCAAGGCUACGAUGUCUAGGGGUUUUGAGAGGAAGAUCCCCCACACUGGUACUGAGCCAGGAUCAAACUCUAAGGGCGAAUU